CAAGCUCGCCGUGCAGGGCAUCAGGAGAGUAUGAGGUAAUGUCUGAAGCUUGCUGUUGCUCCCCGGCCCCCGGGCGUUGAAUCUGACAUGAGGACGAAGGUCACUCCAGAUCGGAGAGAGGAGUCCAUGGUGGACUGACGACUUGCCAAUGGCCUGCCUGUGUAUUCUUGCUUUGCGCGAUAUCUGCUAUGCUACAUUCAUCUGGGUAGCCUGGCGUUCAACUCUACAUUGUCAACAAGAGGCAAGGUGACAUUGUUGGUGUUGCUAUUCCGUGCUGCCUAGUUCACCAAGGUUCCCACCCAUUUGUCUAUGACAAAAGAAUUCUUAGGAAUAUAUCACUGAAUACCGCCGCAAUAGAGUCGCGAGUUUUCCUGUCUUGCCUAUUGCAAGAGCUGUUGUGUAUGGUUGCAAGCGGAAGCUCAUUCAAAAGCUUGUGCCUCUAUUAAGAGAGAUCUGCUCUGCAUUUCUUAUCUCUCUCUAUGUAUAGUGAUUUCCUCUGUUCUUUGUCAAAUUAACAUGGUUUUGGUUUGUUUGCAGGACGAUUUCCAAUUUCAGUUACCUUUGUUCCAAAAGUGUCUAAUUUAUUGAACUGCUGAGACACCUUACGGUUGUUUUGUUGUUGUGUCGGGGUUACAAAUGGCCGAAGAUUACUUGAUCGAUAAUGGCAAUAUAGGGCAGAUGAUAUAUCAUAUUUGACGAGCUCGUGGCCAUGUAGUCUCAUCUUAUUUGUAUUUCUAUAUUUUUAAUAUUGUAUUUACGUCCACUGCAAUAUUACGUAACUGAAUGACCUUCCCAUUAAAUAGAAUUAUCUGUCUGCAGUUAUAUGGAACUCUAUUUUCUCACCUGACUUAUGAUGGAAAUUACUCAUGUAUAUUGGAGUUUAACUGACUGGUGCCCUACUAAUACAGAUGGCUGGGUGAGUCUCCCUUUUUCUGUCUAAAUGAGUUUAUUAGAAUAUCCAAUGAACUCUUUUAAAUGGAAGUAGGACGCCUUCAAGUAUGUGUAAUGAAUAUUAAUCAGUAGAUAAGCCAUGAACAGUCAAACCAUUAGCAAUGAGAACCCAUGCCGCUCUCUUGAGCUUUGGCACUACCUGGAUCCUUUACUUCCCCGUGCCGCUCGGCUUCCUCUGCAGGUGGGCUAUCCUGGUGAUGGGUGAUGGGACCUGGAAGACAAGGUGUUCAUGGUGAUGGGUGUCGGCACUGCCAACACCCAUCACCACUCGGCACCUCCGUUAGCUCAACUGUCGGAUCACGUUCUCCAUGAUGAACUACUCAACUUUGGUAUUUUGCAGUUCAGGAUCUCUACUUGGCGGUUUAGUUGAGUUCUGUUUUCAUUGUUUUUGUGCAAACAUGAUCCAAGAUAAAGCAAAGAGCGAUAAAUAAUUUUUAGAUGAUAUAAGAUGGCUAUGAUAAUAUUUUUCUCGUGACUUACUCAACCUUGGCCUUUUGCAAUUAAGGAUCAGGCAUCUACAUUGUGGUUUAAUUGUAGUUUCAUCUGAUUUUUUGGUGGGUUCAUGAAGCAAGGGAUGGUAACUAAUUUUUAAAUCAUAGAGGAAGGCUAUCACAAAAACUUAACUGGUAGUUGGUGGAUACAUGAAACGAGGCCUCUGGAUAGGGAGAAAGGAGGCGAGGUGAACCAGCUGCUAUCGUUGAUCGUCCUGGCCAUGUCCUCUUUCUCUACAGACAUUUGUAGAAGUCUCAUGUCAUUGUGCAGUUCGAUCGGAUAGCAGCUCAGGAUUAGUUGAUCUCCAACCAGUUAGCGAGAAACAGUCAUAGAAGUGUCAUGUUAUUUUGCAGUUUGAUUUAAGAGCUGCUCGGGAUAAUUCCAGUAGGUAUUGUCAUGGUAGAUAGUUGCUAUCUCAUCUGUUCAAUGCCUCUACCACCCGGGUAUGGCAUAUAUUAAGAUUCAGGAUUGUUUCGGUUUUUUAAAAUUUGGUUAUAAUAUAGGGACAAUGUCAGCCGAUUAUAAUAUAUAUGACAUUAGCUGAGCCCUAUUCAGCCAAUUAUAUGAUAAUGUUUUAAUCUAAGUAAAUCAAGUACAACUGUACCAUUUGGUUUUUUGAUUUUAUGAUUGGGAUUUAUGUGAUUUUGCAUUUUCGACUUAUGCUACACUGGGUCUCCAGUAGACGUUCUAUCUAAGGUUUAGCAUGAAAGUAUAUUAAUCGUUUGCCUUUAUGAAUCUGAACAUUAGCAUUUUAGUGGAAAGAUACAGUCCAAUUUAGUAAUAGAAGACAUAAAUAUUGUUACUGUUGUCUUUGUUACUGCAUGAUAAUGAUAAUUUGCUUAGUGUGGUGCUCUAUUUCUAAGUUACUUUCAUCCAAGUUACCUUGUUAGUAAUCUGUAGUUGAAUUACUGUGGGCCUAGGUUGUCCUCUUUGGUCUGGAUGGUUACAAACGUUGUGUGUAGUGUCAAAAAUUGUGAUAAAAUAUCUACCUAAUAUUUUAUGUUCAAUAUUCUUGCUAUAGCACUAGAUUCCACGGAAACGAGAAAUGUAGUGUACCGAGAGGUGCUCGAUUGUCUGUAGGCGCUGCUUCUUACAACCAUGUGUUUUAAUGUAGAUACUUUCAGCUUUAAUUCUCUUGCGUUUUUCAGUAAAUGUGCAUUUAAUUUCUUAUGCCCUUCUAUUCUUUACGUGUGCCAUUUCAACUUAGCAACUAAUGUUUUCUGUUCAUAUCCAUUUUGUUUUUGUGCUUAGGUUUCCCUUUAUGAUGAAGCUAUUGGUGCUACCAUGGAUGGAUCUCCUCCUGUUUAGAUACUGCUUUGGUUCAAGGUGAUAUACAGUGAACCAUCUGAAGAAAAGGCAGUUCCUGUUGAGAGUUGGUUCAAAAGCUAUGUGCAUAAGCUCGAGACCUCAAGUCGCUUAAUGAAUACAGCCAGUGCUUAGUUUCGUGUAUAUUUUUAGGCAGUGCAAGAAGUACAUAGCCACUCUUUUGUUUUCUGUACAUUUCACGUGAUGAGACUUCUUCCGACUCUUUG